rnacentral:rRNA from 1 species
GAUGAACGCUGGCGGCGUGCCUAAUACAUGCAAGUCGAGCGGACGGACGAGAAGCUUGCUUCUCUGAUGUUAGCGGCGGACGGGCGAGUAACACGUGGAUAACCUACCUAUAAGACUGGGAUAACUUCGGGAAACCGGAGCUAAUACCGGAUGAUAUUUUGAACCGCAUGGUUCAAAAGUGAAAGACGGUCUUGCUGUCACUUAUAGAUGGAUCCGCGCUGCAUUAGCUAGUUGGUAAGGUAACGGCUUACCAAGGCAACGAUGCAUAGCCGACCUGAGAGGGUGAUCGGCCACACUGGAACUGAGACACGGUCCAGACUCCUACGGGAGGCAGCAGUAGGGAAUCUUCCGCAAUGGGCGAAAGCCUGACGGAGCAACGCCGCGUGAGUGAUGAAGGUCUUCGGAUCGUAAAACUCUGUUAUUAGGGAAGAACAUAUGUGUAAGUAACUGUGCACAUCUUGACGGUACCUAAUCAGAAAGCCACGGCUAACUACGUG